rnacentral:rRNA from 1 species
UACAGAGACCUCGAGCGUUAUCCGGAAUUACUGGGCGUAAAGAGCGAGCAGCCGGUCGUAUUAGUCUGUCGUUAAAUACCGAGGCCCAACUUCGGUGCUGCGAUGGAAACGGUACAACUAGAGUAGGUAAGAGGGAGGCGGAACGUGCAGUGUAGGGGUGAAAUCCAUUGAUAUUGCACGGAACACCAAAAGCGAAGGCAGCCUCCUGGUGCUCUACUGACGGUCAUUCGCGAAAGCGUGGGGAUCAAAAAGG